GCGGGUGUAGCUCAACGGUAGAGCUCCAGCCUUCCAAGCUGGUGACGAGGGUUCGACUCCCUUCACCCGCU
rnacentral:tRNA from 1 species